rnacentral:tRNA from 1 species
UCCCUGAUGGCUCAGAUGGUAAAGUGUCUGCCUGCAAUGCGGGAGACCCAGGUUUGAUCCCUGGGUUGGGAA